UACAGAGGUCUCAAGCGUUGUUCGGAUUCAUUGGGCGUAAAGGGUGCGUAGGUGGUAGGGUAAGUUUGAUGUGAAAGCUCGGGGCUUAACUCGGAAAUUGCAUCGAAUACUAUUCAACUAGAGGGUUGUAGGGGGGACUGGAAUUCUCGGUGUAGCAGUGAAAUGCGUAGAUAUCGAGAGGAACACCAGUGGCGAAGGCGAGUCCCUGGACAACUCCUGACACUGAGGCACGAAAGCUAGGGGAGCAAACAGG
rnacentral:rRNA from 1 species